rnacentral:tRNA from 1 species
GGGUCGUUGGCAGAAUGGUUAUGCAACCGCCUUUUAAGCGGGGUGAUCAAGGUUCGAUCCCUUGGCGACCCA